rnacentral:lncRNA from 1 species
AAAAUCCCUUUGUUCUUCAAUUGAAUCAUAGUUGCUUUACACCAAUUUUAUUUUUCACAAUUCUUUAAUAGUGAAUAAGCUUUGUUUAAUGUAACAAAUAACUCUCUCAAUAAUAGCUCAUAAUAAAACCCUUCUUUAUUAAAAAUCAUCAAGUAGUCAUAUACCUCCAUGAUACAUUCAAUAUUCUUAUAUAGAUUUUUACAUUGAUUUUUGUUCAAUAUAUCUUUUUUCUUUAAGAAAUCCUUCAAUGCUUCAACAUAGGCUUGACAUUUUCUCCAAAUAUCUUCACCAAUACCAUCUAUGUUUAAUAUUGUGUCAACAUCUUGCAAAUAAUCAUUUGAUUGUUCCAUGUUGACUAAAUACUUUUUUUUCUAAAUACAUGGUAAAGACCUUUGUAACAUAAAAUAUUUCUUAAUCAACUUCAAAAGAUAUGCCAUGGUGACUUAUAUACAAAUAUUCUAAUUUCUCUAUCACUACACAUUCACAAUUGUACAUAAGAUUUAAUUUGUUCAUUAAAAUACUACUUCCAUACUCACUUAUCUACAUUAAUAUACCAUCCAUAUACUUUAAUAUCCUACAUAGUAUUUCUAUCAAUCUAAGAACAUACUUAUGAUCCUAAACAAUCUUGAAAUUGCUACCCAAUCCUAAUAUUACAUGUAAUUAAGGAUCAACAUCUCUACCAAAUUCCACAUUCUAAUUUAUUUUUUAAUUAUCAUUUGUCUAAUAAAUAUCAUCUUCUUUCUAAUUCAUCCAACUCUAUGACACACCCUACAAAUACUAACCAAUUUUAACCCUAAAUAAAUAAACCAAAAAAACAACCACAAUCACAAACCAAGUCACUUUACCAACUCACACACACAAAAUUUAAAACUAACUUUUUUCUCAUUUCUUUUAUUGGCACCAUCCUCUCACCUAACUCUCCACCUUGUCAGUCAAUGUAGAUGCAAACCCUAUUUGCUUGAAGUCCUUCCUUCAAUCCACCAACCCCUCCAACCACCUCCGUACUCCAAUCUCUACAAUCUUUAGCUUGUUGAAACCACUAUUUAAGCGGCUUCAGCAACAAAAGCUUCCACAUCAACCCAAAGGUUAAGCUCUUCCGAAGUAACGUGGUCCAAAUUGCCCACUCAUCACUUGAUUCGUUGCCAAGUAUUCGUCUUAGCUCUUACUUCGGGAUCCUAAACUUUUGGGAAGCUUACAUCAGGAAGCUCCUACUGUAAGAAAUUCCACCCCGAAAUUCACAAACUGAUCGAAGAAAACUCAAGGCCCCCCAACAAUGAACCGACACACAUCCGAUGGCAAAUUCUAUCUGUAUUGAGCACUCGUAAAAUACCCUAUCCCAGGCUCUGGAGAACAACUAGCGGCGUUCACAUCAAGGGCUCAGAAGGCAGUAAGCUCUCGCAUGCAGCAAUUCACGACAUUCAAAUCACAAUAUCCAACUUGUACAAUCUAUGGAUUCAGCUGAUCUAACGAGUGCAUCAGUAGUACCACUGGAAUCAUGUGAGUCGGAGCUUCCGAAUGACACAAGACCCUAAACCCUAAACCCACUGCUACCGCUCCUGCCUAGAUCUCAAAAAUUUCAAAAGCCAUUUCUCAGUCCUUGCCUACCGCCUGCUCAAUCUUCUGAUCUACCCGUCUACUCUAACCUUGCGCGAACAGAUAAAACCCCAAAACAAGAUUUCACGGCAGCGGCGUCGCCCGUCUCCUCUGCUUGAUAAAUCGGCUACCUCUCCGCCUCCUCACGAAAAAGUCUCCUGACGAAUGAGCUCCCUCGCGCCAUAGCUGUGGAAAAGGACACCCCAACUGUAGCAUAGAUGGCUCACGGAUCUCGUCCGCCGCUCUCGUGUAUCAUCAAUUCCUUUCACGGAUCUCAUCCACCGUUCUCCUGAAUCAUCGAUACCCCUCAUAGACUUCGUUGUCGUGCUUAGCUGGAUGUACAAAGAUGCGAUCUCUGAUGCCCCCGUAAAGUUUUUUUUUCUCGUGAUUGUAAGCUCAUCCUUCUCUGAAGAAG